rnacentral:rRNA from 1 species
UACGUAGGGUGCAAGCGUUGUCCGGAAUUAUUGGGCGUAAAGAGCUCGUAGGCGGUUUGUCACGUCUGCUGUGAAAUCCCGGGGCUCAACCCCGGGCGUGCAGUGGAUACGGGCAGACUAGAGUGCGGUAGGGGAGACUGGAAUUCCUGGUGUAGCGGUGAAAUGCGCAGAUAUCAGGAGGAACACCGGUGGCGAAGGCGGGUCUCUGGGCCGAUACUGACGCUGAGGAGCGAAAGCGUGGGGAGCGAACAGG